UUACUCUGUUUUUGGUUAUACCUAUCAUUUAAUAUAUUCGUUAAGUCAUGAAAAAUUUUUGGAAUUAGUCAUGGAAAGUCAUGAAUUUGAAAAUCUAAAAUGUAGCAGAUAGCCUGUAUAUAACAAUAGAUUCUGUAAUAGUUUGUUUCAAAAAGAAUUGUUUUUCUCUGUAAAUUUUGUAAGAAAUGAAAGAUUAUACUUAUGUCUCUAUUCUGUUGUUGUAAAAAAAGAAAUGUGUUAAUAUAAUAAUGUCUUGAUGUUCCAUACUUUUAAUCAAAAAUACUUUAAAAUUGUAAAAAAUGAAUGUAUAAAUGGCAUAUUUUCUAAUUUAUAACGUCCAUUUUUUUUCUUUUAUUUUUAAUAAAAGAAAGAAUGCAUUUAAAUCUGUCUUAUUGAGUUGUAGACAAAUUGUGAAAGUUACAAUGACAGAGUUUAAUGACGAGAUAGAUGUCAGUCUUAACAAUCCAAAAAAUGAUAAUUUUUUUUAAAAAAUAAAUUUAUGUUAAAUCUAUGAAAGACGAAAGGUACAAUAAAUGAAGAAAAGCUACAAUGAAUUCCACAGAUGAGACACCAACAGAUUCCUUGGAAUUUUUUUUUUUUGCAGUGUAAGCUUCUUCCUUACCUUAACUGAUUUUAUUGAUUUUUAAACCUUAUUUUAUGUAAAGAUUUCUCAGCAGAUAUUUGUUUUCAUGAAUUGCAGCUUCCUUCAGUUCUUAUUUCUAUGUUAAAUAAUUUAUUUGGUAUUCUAGUGAUUGUGCUUUUUUUUUGUUAAUUUAUGAAAUGCAUGUUGUUACAUGUGGAAAAUAUAAACAUUGGUUGUAAAAUCAUUUUGUUUUUUCCUUUUUUUUUCAGAAGAAAUAUUCAAACCAUAAUUUCCAGUACUCAUUAAUAGUUAUAACACAUAUUUAUUUGAAAAAACUGAACUAAAUUUAAAUGUUAAAAUUGAGAAAAAUAGUUGGUAGACAGGUAUAGUUAAUUCUCCUAAAAGAAAAAGGUAAAUAAGAAAUGUUCCCUUUUUUUUAGUAUUUUUUAAUUUUUUCCAUAAAAGUAGUAGCUCUGGGAAUGUUAAUUAUUCAAAUAAUUAUUAUAAAAUUAUUUGCAUGAUUUCAUGUUCUUUUUUAAUCCAGGACUUGAGAUUAAGUCUUGAAAAGCUGUGAUAAAUAUAUAACUAGCCACCAAAGGACAAAUAAUGUAAAAUAAGAUGAAUAUAGACGCUUUUUCCACAGCAAUAUAAUAUUGAGCAGCUAUAUUGUCAGUACUUUUUACAGAAACUGAGAAAUUUUUUUUCCCUUCUAAAUGUACUUAAGAAUUAGAUUGGAACAAUCUUAAUAUAGACAUUUUUAAAUGUCAAUGCGAAACAGCACCUACAAAAUAUUUUUUUUCUAAAAUUCUGUAAUUAAUUUUAUUAUGUUUUCAAAGGAAGCUACAUUUUAUAAUUUCCAUGUUCUUUUUAGUGAUAACGAAUUUAUUAAAUCAUUGUUUUAUGUUUGCUCUAUAAAUGUAUUCCUUAAUCUUCAACUAUUCAAUUUAAGGAAAUUAAAACAAAAAUAAGUUCAGAGUUAUUCAAAUAGUUGUAAUAAAAAAUUAUGUUAGUUUCAUAUCAUUAAAAGAAAUGGAGAUAAAUAAAAUGUUUACAUAAUAAAUAAGAGAAUUUAUAGAACAUACAUGCCAUUAUUUGCUAUUAAUUUUUGCUAAAGAUGAAUCCCAGAGCAGUGCCAAUGGUCCAUUAGUAUUACUCUAAUGGAACAAAAGCAAUUAGAUAAAAACUAUUUACACCUCUACGGCAAAGAUAAUGUGUUUUAUUUUUUAUUAAUUUAUAGUAUAAUUAAUUUAUUAAUUAUAGAAAUAAUAUAAUUAUUCAUUUUUUAAAUUUUAAUUUAUAAAUUGCAUAGGGGGAAAUAAAUUUAGACAGAGAGACAAUACGAAAAAGUAUAUUUAAAUCAAUGCAAAUUUGCUUUCAUGGUACAGCAUUCUAGAAUUCUGUAUCAUUCCAUACAGUCUGCUAAACAAAUUUGCAAAUUAUGAACAGUAUGUAAUGAGAUGUAAAAUAAUUUAAGAGAUGUAAUAUUGAUAUUUAAUAUUGGUUUAAAUCAAACUAGCUAGUCUGCAAUUUUUAGUAUAAUAUUAGUAUGAUGAAUUAUAAUGAUACAAAUAUCCCAGUAAAAAAAAUAACAUAGAUUAACAGCUACAUAUUUAUAAUUAUAUAAGCCGAUUGUAUUUCAUUGUGUUCUUUCAGUAUAAUAUUGUUCAUUUUUAAUACAUAAUUACUUUAAAAAUGAUAGUUCAAAUUGUGUGGAAUAUAUAGCUGAAAUUUAUGCUCAAGAUUAAUAAAUAUAAACUGGAAGAUCUUGCAGAAAAAAGAAUCAAAUGAACAGAAACUUCAUUGUCAAAAUUGCUUUCAUGAGGAAUGACCUGUUUAUCCAAGACCUCUUAAAUCUAACUUGGACCACUAUCAAAUAACGGUGAUCCCUUAGACCAGCAACCAAUCACUGUCAAUCGAGUGAAGAAUUAUAAGGUACGACCUUGAUACUUAUCAUAGGAUAUGUAAUUCUGCAGAAGAUUUGUUUCUACAGAUGCAGCCUCGUCGUUUUAGUUGCACGUUGUGUCCUUACUUUACAUUUUUCAAGAGCAAUUUAACGAAGCAUAUAAGGAAACACACGGGUGAACGACCAUACAAAUGUAAUAUCUGUAAUCGUGCCUUCACUCAAAGUAAUGCUCUGAAGAAGCAUCUAAUAUGUCAUAUGUAAAAUCAUAAAAGAACAUUCGGAAAGUUUUUUUUAUGUAUAUAUAUCUAUACAAAAUUCUUAAUAUUUUA
rnacentral:lncRNA from 1 species